CCUACGGGAGGCAGCAGUGGGGAAUAUUGCACAAUGGGCGCAAGCCUGAUGCAGCCAUGCCGCGUGUGUGAAGAAGGCCUUCGGGUUGUAAAGCACUUUCAGCGGGGAGGAAGGCGGUGAGGUUAAUAACCUCAUCGAUUGACGUUACCCGCAGAAGAAGCACCGGCUAACUCCGUGCCAGCAGCCGCGGUGAUACGGAGGGUGCAAGCGUUAAUCGGAAUUACUGGGCGUAAAGCGCACGCAGGCGGUCUGUCAAGUCGGAUGUGAAAUCCCCGGGCUCAACCUGGGAACUGCAUUCGAAACUGGCAGGCUAGAGUCUUGUAGAGGGGGGUAGAAUUCCAGGUGUAGCGGUGAAAUGCGUAGAGAUCUGGAGGAAUACCGGUGGCGAAGGCGGCCCCCUGGACAAAGACUGACGCUCAGGUGCGAAAGCGUGGGGAGCAAACAGGAUUAGAUACCCUGGUAGUC
rnacentral:rRNA from 1 species